AGAGUUUGAUCCUGGCUCAGGAUGAAUGCUAGCGGUGUGCCUGAGAUAUGCAAGUCGAGCGAUUGUUUUGCCGCAAGGUGAAAUAGUAGCGGCGGACGGCUGAGUAAUAUACAGGAAUUUGCCCCUAAGUGAAACAUAGCUCCGGGAAACCGGGGGUAAUUUUUCAUAGUCUCACCCUUUGGGUGAGUAAAGGCCUUAACCGGUCGCUCAGGGAUGAGCCUGUAUCCUAUCAGGUAGUUGGUAGAGUAAUAGCCUACCAAGCCUAUGACGGGUAGCUGAUCUGGGAGGAUGAUCAGCCAGAGGGGGACUGAGACACGGCCCCCACUCCUACGGGAGGCAGCAAUCAGGAAUAGUCGGCAAUGGGCGAAAGCCUGACCGCGCGACACCGCGUGUAGGAUGAAGGUCUAAUCGAUCGUAAACUACUGUUGUAGGGGAAGAAGAUCUGCCGUAAGGCAGGUUUGACGGUACCCUGCGAGAAAGGAGCCGCUAACUGCGUGCCAGAAGCGUCGGUAAUACGUGGGCUUCAAGCAUUAUCCGGUUUUAUUGGGCGUAAAGGGUCGUGUAGGCGGUUUUAUAAGGUAUCUUUGAAAGCUCGAUGCUUAACAUCGAGUUGAAGAUACGACUGUAAAGACUAGAUUUUCUUCAAGGGUAAUCGGAACUCAGAGAGGAGUAGUGAAAUGCGUUGAUACUCUGGGGAACACCAAUGGCGAAGGCAGAUUACUGGGAGGAAAAUGACGCUGAGACACGAAAGCUAGGGGAGCGAAGCAGAUUAGAGACCUGCGUAGUCCUAGCCCUAAACGAAUGUCUGCUACCUGCAUCUUCAUCUCGCCGUAAGGCAAGAUAAGGUGUGGGAAAGGUAACCCGUUAAGCAGAUCGCCUGGGGAGUACUGCCGCAAGGUUAAAACUCAAAGGAAUUGGCGGGGAGGCACACAACCAGUGGAACAUGUGGUUUAAUUUGAUACAAACCAAAGAACCUCACCAAGUCUUGACAUGCUAGCGUCCAGUUCUGUGGAAACACGGAAUGUUCGCAAGAAGGCUAGCACAGGUGCUGCAUGGCUGUCGUCAGCUCGUUCCGUGAGGAGUGCCCUUAAGUGGGACAACGA
rnacentral:rRNA from 1 species